AACGAACGCUGGCGGCAGGCUUAACACAUGCAGGUCGAGCGCCCUGCAAGGGGAGCGGCAGACGGGUGAGUAACGCGUGGGAACGUACCCUUUCUACGGAAUAACGCAGGGAAACUUGUGCUAAUACCGUAUACGCCCUUUUGGGGAAAGAUUUAUCGGGGAAGGAUCGGCCCGCGUUGGAUUAGCUAGUUGGUGGGGUAAAGGCCUACCAAGGCGACGAUCCAUAGCUGGUCUGAGAGGAUGAUCAGCCACAUUGGGACUGAGACACGGCCCAAACUCCUACGGAGGCAGCAGUGGGAAUAUUGGACAAUGGGCGCAAGCCUGAUCCAGCCAUGCCGCGUGAGUGAUGAAGGCCCUAGGGUUGUAAAGCUCUUUCACCGGAGAAGAUAAUGACGGUAUCCGGAGAAG
rnacentral:rRNA from 1 species